UACGAAGGGGGCUAGCGUUGUUCGGAAUCACUGGGCGUAAAGGGCGCGUAGGCGGCUUUAUAAGUCGGGGGUGAAAGCCUGUGGCUCAACCACAGAAUUGCCUUCGAUACUGUAGAGCUUGAGACCGGAAGAGGUGAGUGGAACUGCGAGUGUAGAGGUGAAAUUCGUAGAUAUUCGCAAGAACACCAGUGGCGAAGGCGGCUCACUGGCCCGGAACUGACGCUGAGGUGCGAAAGCGUGGGGAGCAAACAGG
rnacentral:rRNA from 1 species